rnacentral:rRNA from 1 species
AAUGAACGCUGGCGGCAUGCCUAACACAUGCAAGUCGAACGAAGUCUUCGGACUUAGUGGCGCACGGGUGCGUAACGCGUGGGAAUCUGCCCUUGGGUGCGGAAUAACUUCUCGAAAGGGAUGCUAAUACCGCAUAAUGUCGUAAGACCAAAGAUUUAUCGCCCAAGGAUGAGCCCGCGUAAGAUUAGCUAGUUGGUGGGGUAAAAGCCUACCAAGGCGACGAUCUUUAGCUGGUCUGAGAGGAUGAUCAGCCACACUGGGACUGAGACACGGCCCAGACUCCUACGGGAGGCAGCAGUGGGAAUAUUGGACAAUGGGCGAAAGCCUGAUCCAGCAAUGCCGCGUGAGUGAUGAAGGCCCUAGGGUUGUAAAGCUCUUUUACCAGGGAUGAUAAUGACAGUACCGGGAGAAUAAGCUCCGGCUAACUACGUGCCAGCAGCCGCGGUAAU